rnacentral:rRNA from 1 species
GACGAACGCUGGCGGCGUGCUUAACACAUGCAAGUCGAACGGUGAUGCUCCAGCUUGCUGGAGUGGAUCAGUGGCGAACGGGUGAGUAACACGUGAGCAACCUGCCCCAGACUCUGGAAUAAGCGCUGGAAACGGCGUCUAAUACUGGAUACGAAACUGGCCCGCAUGGGCAUGGUUUGGAAAGUUUUUCGGUUUGGGAUGGGCUCGCGGCCUAUCAGCUUGUUGGUGAGGUCAUGGCUCACCAAGGCGACGACGGGUAGCCGGCCUGAGAGGGCGACCGGCCACACUGGGACUGAGACACGGCCCAGACUCCUACGGGAGGCAGCAGUGGGGAAUAUUGCACAAUGGGCGAAAGCCUGAUGCAGCGACGCCGCGUGAGGGAUGACGGCCUUCGGGUUGUAAACCUCUUUCAGCAGGGAAGAAGCGAAAGUGACGGUACCUGCAGAAGAAGCACCGGCUAACUACGUG